rnacentral:rRNA from 1 species
CAGUCGCCGCGGGAAUACGUAGGGUGCGAGCGUUAAUCGGAAUUACUGGGCGUAAGGCGUGCGCAGGCGGUUCGUUAAGACAGAUGUGAAAUCCCCGGGCUUAACCUGGGAACUGCAUUUGUGACUGGCGAGCUAGAGUAUGGCAGAGGGGGGUAGAAUUCCACGUGUAGCAGUGAAAUGCGUAGAGAUGUGGAGGAAUACCGAUGGCGAAGGCAGCCCCCUGGGCCAAUACUGACGCUCAUGCACGAAAGCGUGGGGAGCAAACAGGAUUAGAUACCCCUGUAGUCCCUGUCUCUUAUAC